GGGGCUGGAGAAGGUCCCAAGGGUCGGGCUGUUCGCCCGUUAAAGCGGUACGCGAGCUGGGUUCAGAACGUCGUGAGACAGUUCGGUCUGUAUCCGUCGUGGGCGCUGGAGUGUUGAGGGGCGCCAACCCUAGUACGAGAGGACCGGGUUGGACUGACCGCUCGUGUUCCGGCUGUGACGCCAGUUGCAGCGCCGGUUAGCGAUGUCGGGCUGGGAUAACCGCUGAAAGCAUCUAAGUGGGAAGCCCGUCCCAAGAUGAACACUCCUGGACCUCAAGGUCCCUGAAGGGCCGUGGGAGACUACCACGUUGAUAGGCGGCAGGUGUAAGGCGUGCGAGCGCUUCAGCCGAGCCGUACUAAUCGCCCGUGAAGCUUGAUCUC
rnacentral:rRNA from 1 species